rfam:Caenorhabditis briggsae complete genome, chrIII
GUGUCCGGUCCGUCGUUGAUGGGUUAUCAUUGAAGAGGAAAUCACCCCAUCAGCAUCAACUUGACUGGUAA